CGUUAGCAGCUGUAUUAAGUUAAAAUUAGCUAAUCAUCCUUGCUUCAAAUAAUCAACUAAAUUCGUUUUAAUUCCUCUCAUUAUUUAUUUCUCUAUUUAGUAAUCAUAAUUGGGGAGUUAAGGAAGCCUGGUAAGUUAAUCAUCAUAAAUUGUUUAAUUGUUAAAGGCAUUAAAUUGUAAUUUAAUCUCAUAUAAUUAUUGAUUUAAGCUUUCUCUGUCAGUCAAAAAGAAACGGAAGCAAUUAAACAUCACUUGUCGCUCGAUAAAAAAUACGAUGAUGAUGGUAAACUGGCUAAAAAAGUGAAGAAAAGGAAAGAGCUUGGUCAUUACAAUACUCAUGGACAGUGGUGAUAAAAGAUAUCAAAUUAAAUAACGACUAAAUUGUCACUAUUUGAGGAUUGCCAUCUUUAUUAUUAUUGUUAUUGCUAGUGGAUCAGGAAGAAGUCAAACUGAAGAUUUAAGCUAAUAACAGACGUAAAGCCUCAACAACAUCUUAAAAGAUCUAUUGCUAGCCUCAUCACCAAAUCAUCAUUAUCAUCAUCACCAUCAUCAUAGCAGCAACAGGAGCAAUAAUGACAAUAACAUGAUUAUCAUUUCCUUUAGAUGACCAUGAACCCGCUAGUCACGGUUAAUGCUGAUGACAAAUAUAAAUCAGUUAAUUUUGUGGUCAUCUUAACCAUUUUUUCUGCAUUUCUUGACUUGUAAUCUCAAUUACUUUUUACACAAAUCCACUUUAGUUUACAUCGAUAUACAAGAAAUAGUGGUCAUUGUCAUAUUCCGUGAGAUACUAAGCUAACUAAUUGGCUACUAACUUUCACUAUCAAGAUGGAAACAUGCAAGCAGACAGACAAAAUAUGAAUACACAGUAAUGCCUUGAUUAUCAUAUGUGAAGUAAUGGUCACGUAAUCAACAGAUAAUCUGGAGAGCAAAAAAAGUGAAAUUUGAAUUUAAUUUUGAUUACAUUCAUUGGUAAUGGUGAGAAGUUGCAAUUUGAUAACAAAUUUAAAGACGCAAAUAUUGUCAAACAAGUUCCGUUACAAGCAUAAACAUACACUUUACAAAUAAGUCGAUCAUUACAUGGGCAUUAACUGUGGUCAAACUGGAAACUCAAGCAAUCAAAAGGUCACUGGUCAACAUUGGUUAAAAUUGGAUAACCGUUAAUUCAUCAUUAUUCACUGAGUUGGAGAUUUAAUUAGGAGUGAGAAAAUGGUGACAAUGAGCUAAACUUGAAGACAAUGAGAGUGAAAAAGAAACAACAAAAUAAUUCUGUGAAAAUUGAAUUCCCAUGUUUAUGAUGAUAAAUGUUGGGAUGUUUUAUUUUCCAUCUUAUCCGGCAAUUUUUCUGUUGUAUAAUUAAACAGGUUGACAGAAGCAGCUAACAAUUAUUCAACUAAUGCAACUUUAAAAAGCGACAAUCAACCAGUUAAAGCCAACAAAAAAAGGACAAACCAACAACACUAAACUAGGAAGCAACAAACUUUAAGAUUUAACUACGAGCACCUUUAUCAUCAUCAUUAACUUCAUCAUCUUCACCAUCAUCAGCAAUCUUAUCUUUUUGAGCUUCUUCAUCUGGCUAAUAACAUUUCAAGAUCACUUUUAGUUUUUUUUCUGCUUUUUACCUCAACAUCAUCUUUUUUUCACUUCAAUUUCUUUCUCCUAUCAAAUUUCAACUUUGUUCUGAUCACUUUAAAGUAAAUUGUUCAAUGUUAAUGCAUGGCAAUUCACAAUUUUCAUUCCCAACUGUAUCACGUUAAGGUUGAGGCUAAAUUGUUCAAGUUAUUGGUACAUACAGUUUUGCAUGGCAAUCAAAAUAAAAACAAAAUGGCAAAAUGGUUUUAAA